rfam:Neotoma lepida isolate 417 scaffold_26207, whole genome shotgun sequence.
UUACCAGUCAGGCUCUGGCUAUAUUCCAGGACACACUUGUUCCUGGGUAUAACCAGAGCCCGACUGUACA